UUUUUUUUUUUUAUUCUGUAGAGAAAUGUUUGUGCAAAUUCAGUAAUUCAACUGAAGAGAUAAUUUUACAGCUAUGUUCAAUAAAGCCUCUUUCCAGCCGUCAGAGCAGGGAGUUUGUACUAUGAGCUGCAUAUUGUGGAAAGGAUGUUUUGUUUUUGUCCCACCACAAAACGUCCAAACGACGUCUUUGUGACCAUGUCGUCGUGCUCACAGCGAGUGCUCCUGCAGAACUAGGCUUGCAGAGGGCGCGGGGCUGAGGCUCAGAUUAACCCCUGGUAAAAGAGCAUCUUACCUGGUGUUCGAGCUGCUCGUACCUGUGCCCUGCUCCUCCAGCACCUGAAGUCUAAGCUCAGCAAAGAGCACCCUGGCUCGUUCUCUCACUCUCUGUUUCAAACUACCUUGAAAGGACCCCUGGUAUUUUAAAUAUGAAAUCAGUGUUGAACUCCUGACAAGAAACUUAAUGGGGAGAGGGUGUUUGCGUUCCCUGUGCCGAUGUUUCCCCAUGCAUCCUGGUAGCCUCACCUACCGUGCUCCCUCCUAGCUGGCUCUUGGCAUGGUUGGGGUUGUCCUCUUGUUGAGGACCUCCUCAUGAGAGCCCACCGAGGACCUGCAGCAGGUCCCUUGCAACCACUUCCCUGCCACAUCCACUCCCCAGGACUCUUUCCAUUGAGGAAGCAACUUGAACAUGGACACAUACUUGGACAGAUGAACAGCAAUGAACUUUGCUCAUAGCUAAAGUCAUGGCUGAGAAGUUGAGAAAAGUCAGAGCUGCUGCCCUGGGAUCCCAAAUGCCGUGAUCUUCAUGUGCUGGAGGCUUCUGACUGCCCAUCCAUGGUGAGGAAACAGGAACRUGGCAACAAACACAACUGUGAUAUUUAACAAAAUGUUUUGGGACGAUAGGACCACAGGAGAGACUGGAGAACCACAUGUUGCUGCGCAGGAGAUCGAGUGGCCUCGGCACCUUCUYGGGAAAGACGAGAUGCUCUUCUGCUUGAACACUACCGCCUGCAAAGGGAAAACAAAUCUGUGUUUGUGUAAAUAUUCUAUAAAUAACUGUAAUUGUAUGUAUCUAAUGUAUAUAUAAUGAUUAUUGCAUUUUAACUAUCUUGAUYAGUGUAAAUAGCCAAAACUUGGGCUCUUAUUUUGCCAGAACACCCACAGUAGAAUUAUUUUUUGCCAUCGUUGUUAACAUCUCUGGUUAAAUUACAAACUGCUCUCA